AUCUCCCAAAAGCACAGAAUUUGGGAACUGAGUCCCCCCAGACUUUUAUCCCGGGCAGCUGUAGCAAGGAGUUGUGAAGCAGCUCAAGCUCAGAAGCAUGAACUAGCCCUGGUCGAGGCACCUGGUAGCUCUGCAGGGCCUGGACAUCCUUUCAGCACGGAGGGGGCGAUGCUAGAGACUGGGGAGUGUGACAGCCCAGUCUGGCCAGCGAUGGAAAGUUAGAAACUGGAAAUGACCUGGCUGCCACCCUGACUCAGCCAGCCCCAAAGCAUCUCUACAAAACACCUAGAUCUGAACAAACUGCUGUCCUCUGACAGAAAUAUUCUGUCUGAGAAUUUCUGACCAGCUCUGGUAGUAAACAUCUCCAGGGUGUCGUUUGUGCCUGA